rnacentral:rRNA from 1 species
AGUGAACGCUGGCGGUAGGCCUAACACAUGCAAGUCGAACUGCAGCACAGUAAGAGCUUGCUCUUACGGGUGGCGAGUGGCGGACGGGUGAGGAAUACAUCGGAAUCUACUUUUUCGUGGGGGAUAACGUAUGGAAACUUACGCUAAUACCGCAUACGACCUACGGGUGAAAGCAGGGGAUCUUCGGACCUUGCGCGAUUGAAUGAGCCGAUGUCGGAUUAGCUAGUUGGCGGGGUAAAGGCCCACCAAGGCGACGAUCCGUAGCUGGUCUGAGAGGAUGAUCAGCCACAAUGGAACUGAGACACGGUCCAGACUACUACGGGAGGCAGCAGUGGGGAAGAUUGGACAAAGGGCGCAAGCCUGAUCCAGCCAUACCGCGUGGGUGAAGAAGGCCUUCGGGUUGUAAAGCCCUUUUGUUGGGAAAGAAAAGCAGCAGGUUAAUACCCCGCUGUUCUGACGGUACCCAAAGAAUAAGCACCGGCUAACUUCGU